rnacentral:lncRNA from 1 species
CAGCAAGAAGCAAAUCAUGUUUAACUGUCACCCUGACAGGGGUGGUUGGGACAUUGGCUAAGGGUGAGAAGUCAUCGAAUCACACAAGUAAAAAUUCUGUCUUACUAGAAAAACCAUUGAUAAAAAUAUUUAUGUGUUGGAAUGAAAGGACUUCAUCAACUCCUAGAGUUAGUGAUAAUUAAACACGUUGUUUGGAGAGCGAGAUGGAUGAAUUGGGCAAUUUUUCCCAGGUUUGCCAGAAAAGAGAAUCAAGGGCACGCAACUGCUGACAGAGUUUAACCUUUAAAUCCAACUUUAUUUACUCUCACUUAGCUAAAGACAAAGCAGUUUACACACUGUAUAUGGAGAAUACAUGUUAAUUGGUGGAUCGCUGACAACAAAUACUUACAGACUUUGCAGUUUGUAGUUACGUGUGCGGACAAGCAUCCCACGGACAGACCCGGAGAGGGGUGGAGAUGAGGUGAGGGCGGAAGAGCAUGGAAACUCAACCUCUGCAGGUUUCCACUCAUGCCACUUCCUUCUGAUCUGUGAAAUUCUAUCUUCUCCAUUAUCGUCCAAGAGACUGUUGUGCAAACGCCCCGCACCUGAAAGCCGUGUUGGACGAGAACUGUGGUAGAGGUUUCAGAUCUCAGGGCUAGAUAUGGCAGCACUCCUCCACGAAACAAAAGGAGACAGCAUCUCCCCAACUCCAGGGCUUCAUUAAAGGAGACCAAACACUUGCCACAGGCACCAAACUCGUGAGCAGGAUGCAGUACAGGAGGAAGGGAGUGUUUAUUCGUGCACAUACGCAGCCUCUGUCCUAAAUCAGGGCCAAGUGGGUGAUGGUAAACCCGAGUAAUGCAGUGUUUCUCUGAUGCAAUCCUGCCUCCUCAACAAUGUCAGUGAGCCACUUACAAGUUAUGGUGAAAACCAAUAUUUUUAAAAACUAAAUUUAGUGUCUAUCGUUGGCCUGAAAGGUCCAGAGGAUACUGGUGUUGGUGGGGAUGGUUCUAAUUCCUAUGUUCCUGAAAGUCUACCGACUUUUGGCCAUGCCUGGGAUCUGCCUUACACUCAUGGAGAAUGUCAGGCAAGUUGCUUAAUCAUUCAGGUUUGGGAGGCGGUGGGCAGUUUCUCGACUGGUGAAAUGAGGUGGACGAUAUAGCUUAUCUCCAAGACAGUGAUUCUUAACAUGCUGAAGAUUAAGACAACUUUGAGAAUCUGAUGAAAACUGUA